GACGAACGCUGGCGGCGUGCUUAACACAUGCAAGUCGAACGGUAAGGCCCCUUCGGGGGUACACGAGUGGCGAACGGGUGAGUAACACGUGAGCAACCUGCCCUUGACUCUGGAAUAACAGUUGGAAACAGCUGCUAAUACUGGAUAUUCAUCGUCUCCUUCCUGGGGGGUGGUGGAAAGCUCCGGCGGUCAGGGAUGGGCUCGCGGCCUAUCAGCUUGUUGGUGAGGUAAUGGCCCACCAAGGCUUCGACGGGUAGCCGGCCUGAGAGGGCGACCGGCCACACUGGGACUGAGAUACGGCCCAGACUCCUACGGGAGGCAGCAGUGGGGAAUAUUGCACAAUGGGCGCAAGCCUGAUGCAGCAACGCCGCGUGCGGGAUGACGGCCUUCGGGUUGUAAACCGCUUUCAGUAGGGACGAAGGGUGACUGACGGUACCUACAGAAGAAGGACCGGCUAACUACGUG
rnacentral:rRNA from 1 species